rnacentral:misc_RNA from 1 species
GAUGAAGAGCGUAGCGAAAUGCGAUAAGUAAUGUGAAUUGCAGAAUUCAGUGAAUCAUCGAAUCUUUGAACGCACAUUGCGCCCGCCAGUAUUCUGGCGGGCAUGCCUGUCUGAGCGUCAUUUCAACCCUCAUGCCCCUAGGGCGUGGUGUUGGGGAUCGGCCAAAGCCCGCGAGGGACGGCCGGCCCCUAAAUCUAGUGGCGGACCCGUCGUGGCCUCCUCUGCGAAGUAGUGAUAUUCCGCAUCGGAGAGCGAUGAGCCCCUGCCGUUAAACCCCCAACUUUCCAAGGUUGACCUCAGAUCAGGUAGGAAUACCCGCUGAACUUAAGCAUAUCAAUAAGCGGAGGA